rnacentral:rRNA from 1 species
AACGAACGCUGGCGGCAUGCCUAACACAUGCAAGUCGAACGAGAUCUUCGGGUCUAGUGGCGCACGGGUGCGUAACGCGUGGGAAUCUGCCCUUUGGUUCGGAAUAACAGUUGGAAACGACCGCUAACACCGGAUGAUGACGAAAGUCCAAAGAUUUAUCGCCAGAGGAUGAGCCCGCGUAGGAUUAGCUAGUUGGUGUGGUAAAGGCGCACCAAGGCGACGAUCCUUAGCUGGUCUGAGAGGAUGAUCAGCCACACUGGGACUGAGGCACGGCCCAGACUCCUACGGGAGGCAGCAGUGGGGAAUAUUGGACAAUGGGCGAAAGCCUGAUCCAGCAAUGCCGCGUGAGUGAUGAAGGCCUUAGGGUUGUAAAGCUCUUUUACCCGGGAUGAUAAUGACAGUACCGGGAGAAUAAGCUCCGGCUAACUCCGUGCCAGCCGCCGCAGUAA